UGUGUGGUGUGCAGAAAUUUUCUUCAAUACGUUUAUGGAAAACAUGGUUAAGAAACACUUCUCGAUUGGAAUUUGAUGUUUGCUUGAAACCCAAUGUACUUCAAGCCGAUAUAUCUGAGGCGAGGGUAAAGAUACGAGCUUGUGAUAAUUCUAUGUCUACUUCCUUGACAGUUUCUCUAGCUGAUGUAGUGCAGGAUGACACGGAAAACGAGAAUCAUUCAGUUGGAAAUGAUGAACAUCGGCCAAUCAUUGUUCACACGCACAAUAUUACUGGAGCUCAAAAUGUUGUAGUCGGCAGCA